CAGAAAUGUUGGGGCCCCUGACAAAGUUCAAGGUCUGGGCCCCCAGUGCCCACUCACGAGUCCGCCCACAGGGCCAUCCUUGAAUCUGCCAACAAAGAUGCAUUAUGUGUGUAGAGUGAAUGCAGAGUCUGUGUGUGUAGUCAAUGCAGUGUGUGUUUAGUGGAUGCAGUGUGUGUAAAGUGGCCAAAUGUAGAUCCGAAUCUGUUGUAAGUCCCAGAAUGCUUUGCUAGCUAUGGAUCUAUAAUUUGCAGGGCUGUAUUUAGCACUCAGCACUGUAUGUGUGUUUGAAUAUAAACAUGGUUUUGAAUGGAGUAUGUGUGUAUUUGAAUGUUGGUGUUUGAAUGCAAGCGUGCAUUUGUCUGUAGUAUAUAAACAUACACACACACACCCUGACAUACAUGCAAAUACACAGACACAGUUACACAUAUUGGCACAUAGUUACA